GCCGGGCGAGGUGGCGGGCGCCUGUAAUCCCAGCUACUCGGAGGCUGAGGCGGGAGAAUGGCGUGAACCCGGGAGGCGGAGCUUGCAGUGAGCUGAGAUCCGGCCACUGCAUUCCAGCCUGGGUGACAGAGCGAGACUCCGUCUCAA
rnacentral:SRP_RNA from 1 species